GCCGAGUGCGGUGGCCCACGCCUGUAAUCCCAGCAGCUCGGGAGGCUGAGGCAGGAGGAUCAUGAGUUCAAAGCCAGCCUCAGCAAAAAGCGAGGCGCUAAGCAACUCAGUGAGACCCUGUCUCUA
rnacentral:sRNA from 1 species